ACAUCCUUCUGGAAUUACAAGGUGAAUUUUGAUGCUUUGUUUGAUUGGCACAAAAAAAAAAUCUGAAUAACAUUUAUGAUGUCUAAUUAACAGUAUUUGUCUUUGUGAUUUUCAAGGAGACUAGACAAUCAUAUUGUGUUUUUGUCAAGCUUAUUUUUAUUUCAUCUUUUAAGGCUCACAGCUGUCAUAUUAAAUGUGUGGUCACUGCCACAAGUUAGUUCAAUUUUGGAAAUUAUAUUGCCUUGUGACAUUAUGAGAAUUCUAUUUUGCAAGGAUAGAAACAUACUUAUUUAAGGCUGACCUGUGUGUCUCAAACCAAUGUAGAAUAAAAGUAAAAAAAGGGAAA
rnacentral:misc_RNA from 1 species